AUGCACACAACCCAAAUCCCCUGCCUUCUCCCCUUCAAGUCCGGCAGCCGGACUCGGUUCUCCGGCGAUGUCCGGUCGGCCACACACUCACCCAACCCCUCAUUCCUAUCAAACCCUAACCUCUCAUCUCCUCUUCCCUAAAUCACAUACAUAGCACACAGAUCUUUAGAGAGAAAGUCACAUGAGAGAGAGUGGCAGAGAGAGAAAGUCGCGUGAGAGAGAGAGACGGAUGGCCGGCCACCACCAUGAACGACGGAGUCUCGGUGGUUAGCGACGGCGACUUGGUACUAUUUUGGCUGUGAUGUGACCUCGGGUGUGGCUGGAGUGGUGGCAGCGACAUGGAGGCUCAGCCAUUCCCUAACGACAGCAGUGGUUCGAGCAACGACAAUGGUAGAUCUGGUGACGGUGAGAGUAUGAACGGACUCCGAUGACUAACUUUGGCAACUGACGAACUCCGGUGGCAGUGGUGGUUACCGGUGGCGGAGAUGAUCUCCAGCCACCGACAGAGUAGGUUAUUGGUGUUAGUUGUUUUAGGGUAGGAAACUAAGCUUGAAGAGUCAGAUAAGUAGUAAUAUGAUUUCCGAUGGAGAGUUUAUCGUUCUUAUUCCAUUUGCGAAAAAGGACAAGCAGAAAUCGGUGGAUGUUAGAGCGAGUGAAACGAGUUUUCAAAAUGCACAUCAGUGUUCCACUUCCAGUUCGGACAAGCGGAACAAAGCAGAUAGGAGGAAUUUUGAUAUUUUGUUU
rnacentral:lncRNA from 1 species